UUUCCGUAGGUGAACCUGCGGAAGGAUCAUUAACAAAAAAAUAAAAUCCACCUUAGGAUAAACCCGGAGAAGAAAUUCAAAGGGUUUUUCCUUAAGCAAACAGUGAACUUUGUUAAAGUUUCUAACAAGAUCUACCAAUCUAAAUUUAUUUAGAGAGGUAGUUUCUUUUUAAAAACAAACUUGUUUAAUUUAUUUUGUCUUAUCCUUCUUAAACUAAAUUGGUUUUAGGACCUUUUUGGAAAGAAUAUUUAAAUCAAAAGUAACAACUUUUAACAACGGAUAUCUUGGCUCUU
rnacentral:misc_RNA from 1 species